GCUAAUACAUGCAAGUCGAGCGCGGGAAGCGAGCGGAUCCCUUCGGGGUGAAGCUCGUGGAACGAGCGGCGGACGGGUGAGUAACACGUGGGCAACCUGCCUGUAAGAUCGGAAUAACCCCGGGAAACCGGGGCUAAUGCCGGGUAAUACUUUUCUUCGCAUGAAGAUGAGUUGAAAGAUGGCUUCUCGCUAUCACUUACAGAUGGGCCCGCGGCGCAUUAGCUAGUUGGUGAGGUAACGGCUCACCAAGGCAACGAUGCGUAGCCGACCUGAGAGGGUGAUCGGCCACACUGGGACUGAGACACGGCCCAGACUCCUACGGGAGGCAGCAGUAGGGAAUCUUCCGCAAUGGACGAAAGUCUGACGGAGCAACGCCGCGUGAACGAUGAAGGUCUUCGGAUCGUAAAGUUCUGUUGUCAGGGAAGAACAAGUACCGUGCGAAUAGAGCGGUACCUUGACGGUACCUGACGAGGAAGCCCCGGCUAACUACGUGCCAGCAGCCGCGGUAAUACGUAGGGGGCAAGCGUUGUCCGGAAUUAUUGGGCGUAAAGCGCGCGCAGGCGGUUCCUUAAGUCUGAUGUGAAAGCCCACGGCUCAACCGUGGAGGGUCAUUGGAAACUGGGGAACUUGAGGACAGAAGAGGAGAGUGGAAUUCCACGUGUAGCGGUGAAAUGCGUAGAUAUGUGGAGGAACACCAGUGGCGAAGGCGACUCUCUGGUCUGUUUCUGACGCUGAGGUGCGAAAGCGUGGGUAGCAAACAGGAUUAGAUACCCUGGUAGUCCACGCCGUAAACGAUGAGU
rnacentral:rRNA from 1 species